ensembl:lncRNA
ACCGGGGGGCGUCUGAAGAACAGGGGGCAGCAGACCCACAGGGGGCGUCUGACCACUAGGGGGUCUGCCCACCAGGGGGCAGCGCUGGGGCGGCGGAAGUCAAGAUGGUGGAGCUCGGUUUUUGUUAUUUCUAGUUUUUUAUGUCUUUAUUUGUAGUUUUUUUACUCAUUUGGGUUUGUUGUUUUCUGUACGCAAUGACCUAAAGACAGACCACAGCUGCUGUUCAUCAACAUGCUCAGACACGCAGUGACGACACACACACACACACACACACACACACACACACACACACACACACACACACACACACACACACACACACACACACACACACACACACACACACAAUACAAUACACACACCACAAACACACACACAUGCAAAGUCACAAUACAAACCACAGACACACACAGACACACAAUACAAUACACCCCACACACACACACACACACACGCGCAAACUCACAAUACACACACACACACACACACACACACACACACACACACACACACACACACACACACACACACACACACACACACACACACAGGCACAGGCACAGGCACAGUGAGAGAAGGGCUUCAGUCCAGCUCGGGGUCUAUCUUAACCAUGUGUUGUACAUUGUGUUGCACAUGUGCUGUAUUAUACUUCCGCCUCAUUUUCUUUAUACUCUCCACCGUCCUGCUCGUUUCAGCGUACACAUGUUACACUGUGGCGGUCAGCCAGUGCUUAAUUUGUCAAGUGGGAUCUCCCGGAGCGCUGAGGACGAGUAG